AUUGAACGCUGGCGGCAGGCCUAACACAUGCAAGUCGAGCGGAUCGGCGGCCGGGUGAGUAAUACCUAGGAAUCUGCCUGGUCGUGGGGGAUAACGUCCGGAAACGGGCGCUAAUACCACAUACUAUCAGAUGAGCCUGGAUCUGAUUAGCUAGUUGGUGGGGUAAAGGCCUACCAAGGCGACGAUCCGUACCUGGUCUGAGAGGAUGAUCAGCCACACUGGAACUGAGACACGGUCCAGACUCCUACGGGAGGCAGCAGUGGGGAAUAUUGGACAAUGGGCGAAAGCCUGAUCCAGCCAUGCCGCGUGUGUGAAGAAGGUCUUAGGAUUGUAAAGCACUUUAAGUGGGGAGGCGUUACCCACAGAAUAAGCACCGGCUAACUCCGUGCCAGCCGCCGCGGUAAUAC
rnacentral:rRNA from 1 species